CCCUGGUAGCUCAAGUGGUAAAGAAUCUGCCUGCAAUGCAGGAGAUCCAGGUUUGAUCCCUGGGUCAGGAA
rfam:Ovis aries breed Texel chromosome 8, whole genome shotgun sequence.